GCAGGGCUACCCACUAGAGAGGGGGAUCAGCAUUCGGCUGGCAGACCUUCUCAAGAGAUCCAAAUCGCAGCAGUUCCACGGCCUGAUGGGAAGAAGCUCAGGAACAUCUCAACCCGUGAGACUGGGCAGGAAGAGAAACAAAGGGGAGAUGUUCGUUGGACUCAUGGGCAGAAGGAGUUUAGGAGCAGAAGAUGUGGAAGAUGAGUGGAAAUCUGAAUCUUAUUAAAGAUGGAAGAAGAAAAAAAAAAUCCCCUGAUCCAUAAUCCCACCUCUGAUUCAACUACAACGUCCGAUACAGUCGCACGUUGCUGAGCAACAGGACGGACUGUCGAGUAUAACCCACUCUGAGCGGGACAGAUGUCCUCAACAUCUGCUGCAAUGGACUCGAAAUCGAUUAAAAGCUGCUGAAAAACCACGAGGACCAUCGCCCAUCCAUUAUAAUCAACACCAUCACUAAUAUUUAAAAGUGUGUACGUGUAAGCCUUGUGUCUUCUCAGGGCCUUCGCUUGUUUCAUUUCAAACUCAUUAAAGCUGAA